ensembl:lncRNA
AUGAAGAGAAGAGGAAAGACAUCACUAAUGCAUGGAUAUUGUGAGGUUCUUGAUAUAAAUGACAUUACAAAUAGCAUUUACUAUGAAAGUAAUAUACUGAUAGGACCGCGACAGGAUGAGAAAUCUGUUGCCUUCAUAGCCGGUACAAGUAGCAGUAGGUACCUUCUGGUUGGGAAAAAAGAUGACAAUGCAAAACCUCAAGACACCAGGUAUUCUGUUGUUAUCUUGUGGAACACUUUACAGUCUCAAUAUGGUGAGAUUUUCUCAAGAAUAGCAAAAGGAUCAGAUGCCAGCAUUCAGAGCACUGUGAGAGAUGUGGAGUUUGUUGAUGGAUUCCAGAGAGUUUCACCCUCAGAAUCAUACUUAUUUCUCAACACAAAGACUGACUCCGAGAGGAAAGUGCUCGUCCUGUGGAUGGACAGCUCUAAAGAAAAAAAGAGAGACAUCAUCAGAUCCCUACAGGCUGCAACGAUACGAUGCUGCAGUGAUAAAGCUCGUCCGGUGCUCGUCGCCUGCACCGUUAUUCCCUCAGUGAAUGGAGUUAUUUGGGCAGGUGUGUUCAGUGCUCAGAAUCUGCAGGAUCCAGGGAACAGCGCACUGGCUCUGUAUGACAUCAGUAAUGUUAAAGGACGAGUGAAGGGCUUCUGCGCUUAUGGUGAAAGGCCAUCUGGUUCUGAGAGUGAUACUGAACUUCAGCCGCUCUCUGUGGUGUUCAAGUACAGCUCAAUGUCAGCAGUGGCAGCAGUUAGAAGUGGAUCCUGGAUUGUGCUGUUCAUAGGAACCGGUGAUGGCCACCUCAUAAAGGUCUGCUUCACCUCACCUCACACAUGUGCCUUUAUUUUCACUAGUCUCAAUGAGUUUUUAAUUCUAAAUACCUGCACAACAUUUCCAUUUACAAAUAUAACUCUAAGGUCUGUGUAUCUUUUGGUCAUUUGAUUUUCAACUUAAAAAGAAAUUAAGAGACAUGAGAAAUGGUUUGAUUUUUGUUUUUUCAAUUUGUAUAAGAAACGGAAAACAAAAAAUGAAGCUGUUUUUUUUUUUUUUUUUGUUUAUGGGUAAAAAUGAGAUUAUGCUUUAAUAUUUGUUUUGAAUGUCAUCCCUUCUGUACUGUACCGAUAUGUGGCAACCGCAAGCUCAGUUCAUUUUCAACAGCAGAGUAGCGGCAGGUGAGCUGAGUUUAUUAAUCCUGCGGAUUCUUUGCUAGCAGAGAAAGAGCUUCAGCUCCGUCCGUUUUGUCGUAAGACACCCUCAGUAACAAAAAAACAUUACAAAACACUGUUGUAAAAUAAAGAAACAUAACAGGGUGUGCUUUCUGCCA